rnacentral:lncRNA from 1 species
GGAAAUUGGAGGUAGGCCUGGGACCAGGUAAAGUAUCAUCUUAAUCAAAUCUAUCAAUUUAUCAUUUGUAAUUUGGUAUGGCAUUCAAGUUUUUAGUCUGCAGUUUUUCCAUUUUGCCCCUAUUCAGCUCUAAAAAAAUCUCGGUACCCUAUAAACACUUCAAAUUUCUUCUCUGACACAAAUAUUUCUUUGAAACUUUAAAAGAUUCAGAGAACCUCUGAAAGACGUUGAUCUCUAUGUACCAGCAAACUUUUUGGGCUAUUUCAAAUCUUUCUGCUUGUUUUUCAACUUCUAUUUACUUCCAUCUGUACGCGUGCUUGGCUCUGGAAUUUGCAUCGUAUUGAUAACUCAACGAUCUUAUGGACGAAUAAAACAGAGAACUAUCGGAGCAUUGAGGGAUUUUUA